AAAAUAAAUGGGUGAAAUUUGGAGUUAGAAAGGGCAGAUGCUCGGGGAGGGAACUCCUGUCCAGUUGCCAUUCGUUUUCUCUGUGAAGUGAGGUGGGGGUUAUUCGCAAGCGAAAGUACAUAGCUUUGAGGUGGGGGUCUGAGCACAGCAGAGAAGCUUUGGGGCGGGCAGUGCAAGUCCUCAGUGAGCUGGGAUUCCAGGGAAAGUAGAGGGAGGGUUCAGCCUUUUUGAGGGCCCAGCUAUGGUGGGAGCAUAAAUGUGCAGGCAGUGUAUGAGUUUUUCUUCUAGAAGCUCCAUUUAUGUUUUACUUGGGCUAAUAUUCAACCAAUUCUUCCUGACCAUACACGUGGUGGAGGUAGAAAAGGGAAGGCGGGAGAAAGCCACCUGACACAUAAGAGGGGCCAUGACCAAUCCACAAAGAGAGCACUGUCUGAUUAUAAUGUGAAUCCCGUAAAGACCACGGUGGUUCGGACUGUAGGUUAUCUUUCUCCAUGGUAUUUGCAUUAAAAGGGAAGGCUAAGAUUUUAGUCUCGCCCACAACACAGGCAGGGAACUUCUAUUAAUAUGGGUGUGCCUCAGGAAUAUUGCGGGUUUAGUUCCAGACCACUGCAGUAAAGCAAAGUCAUAUGAAUUUUUUGGUUUUCCAGUGCAUUUAAGGCUGUGUUUACACUAUACCAUAGUCUAUAAGUAUGCAAUAGCAUAUGUCUAAAGUGACAAAUGUACAUAAUUUUAAAAUAGUUUAUUGCUAAAGCGUUAGGAAUCACACGCACCCUCAACAAGUCUUGUCUGUUUGCUAGUAGAGGGUCUUACUUCUAAGAUGGCUGCUGACUGAUCAGUGUGAUGGUUAUUGAGGUUAAGGUGGCUGUGGCAAUUUCUUAAAAUAAGACAGCAGUGGAGUUUGCUUCAUUCAUUGACUGUUCCUUUCACAGAUGAAUUUUCUGUAACAUGCAGUGCUGUUUGUUAGCAUUUUACCCACAGCAGAGCUUUCACAACUGGGGUCAUUCCUCUCAAACCCUGCCACUGCUUUGUCAACCAAGUUGAUACAAUCUAAAUCCUUUGUUGUCAUUUCAACAGUCUUCCCCAGGAGUAGAUUGAGAUUUAAUUUCAAGAAGCCACUUCCUUUGCUUGUCCUUAAGAAGCAGCUUCUCACCCAUUCAAGUUUGGUCAUGAGAUUGCAACAAUUCAGUUACAGUUUUGGUUGAUUCCCUGAUGGCUCAGACGGUAAAGUGUCUCCCAUCUUGGCAGGCAGAUUCUUUGCCACUGUCCCACCUAGUAAACAGGGAAGAUUAGCUAUUUGUAGGUAAACAAGGUUUAGUUCAAUUCAGUUCAGUCACUCAUUCGUGUCCGACUCUUUGCGACCCCAUGGACUGUAGCAUACCAGGCCUCCCUGUCCAUCACCAACUCCCAGAGUCUACUCAAACUCAUGUCCAUUGAGUCGGUAAUACCAUCCAACCAUCUCAUCCUCUGUCAUCCCCUUCUCCUCCCGCCUUCAAUCUUUCCCAGCAUCAGGGUCUUUUCAAACGAGUCAGUUUUUUGCAUCAGGUGGCCAAAGUAUUGCAGUUUCAGCUUCAGCAUCAGUCCUUACAGUGAAUAUAAGCAAGGUUGGUAGUUUGUAAAGCACCUUUACUCAUUGUUGAUCCCUUCAGACAGCAUCUGUUGAGGGCCUGUGGGCUGGAUAUGCAGAAGUGAAAAAGAACCAGUCUUAUCUUUGAGCUCCUUUUUAUCUGGGCUGAGCCUUUGAAGAAGUCAUUUUUGGAAUGUGAUAAUAAUCAAGUGGAGAUGUGGGAUCCUGGGGGAGGGGUUGGAAGUGAGUACUGCUGGAAAGGUGGUCCUUAGUCUGUCUGAGGAACUCAGGGGGAGGUUUAAAAGGAAAGUUCACUCUCUGAGUGAACUGAGACUUGAGGAUGAAAAGGCUCUUUCUCCCGUGUGUCUUCCAUACAGAUAAAAUAGCAGGUACAAAGGGACAGUGUGGGAGGGAGAACGUGGCCUGCUGGAGAACUGCAGCUAGCUGUGGUGUCACUAAGGUUAGAUGGGCAUCGUGGAGUGGGGAAUGGCAGGAGCUCAGCAUAGGAGUCAUCCAUCCUCCCCGGGGGAAGGGAUAUCACCUUGCCCUGAAGUUUGUUUAGUUUUUUGUUGAUGACAGUGUUGGUUAUGAGAAACACAAUUUUUCCAACUCUGUCCUGCAUUAAGACCUCUUAAUUUUACCUCUUCCGAUUUUACAUUGGGAAAUGUUGAGAUUGUUUCAGAAUUAGCCAGGAUUCUGUGCCUUCAAGUUCAGUGUACUGAGGUCACCUUUUAUUCAGCCGACAAACAUUCAUGAAGCAUACGUGAAGUCCAAGGAAUUCUCUUUGCUGUGGAUGGUAAUACAGAGGCAGGAAAUGGCUUCUGCCUUUCAGGAAGCUUACAGUUAACAAAGCAAACUUGAACUUUCAAAAGCCUCCUUAUGGAAAUAAAGAUAAUAGCAAAAGCAAAGAGGAAGGGCUUGUUCCUUACAACCAUGGAAAGCAGAGAAAUCUAUUUAGAAGACAGUUCGCUCUGAUCGUGUUCUGAAGGACCAAAAGAAAUGUGACAGGUGGACAGUGGUGUGAAGGUGGGCCCAGGGCUGGAAAGAGGAGCUCGGUGGAGGCCAGCCCAGGAUCAUAGGUAUGUAGAGUAUACCCUUGGGACGUAGCACAGUGUCUGGAGUCACUCAUUCUGGGCGUGUUGGGAAUAAAGAGAAACAAGGCUGAAAAUUUGGCUGAGCCCCGACAGUAUCUUACCUGUUGCACUGAGGAAUUUGGACUUUAUUGCAAGCUUUUUGAACAAGUUUUGUAUGGGUCUUCUCUCCAUCCCAAGCCACCACUGUCUCUAGUCUCCUAUCUGCUGUGUUGAAAACAGUACACCUUGGGAUUUCCCUGAUGGUCCAGUGGUUAAGACUCCCGGGGCUUCCGCUACAGAGGAAAGAGAAGUGAAACUGUUAGCCGCU
ensembl:lncRNA